UGAGACGUAGGGUGCAAGCGUUGUCCGGAUUUACUGGGCGUAAAGAGCGCGUAGGCGGUCUGUUAAGUGUAGAGUGAAAGCUCCGGGCUCAACCCGGAAAUUGCUCUGCAUACUGGCAGACUUGAGGGAUGCAGAGGUUUGUGGAAUUCCUGGUGUAACGGUGAAAUGUGUUGAUAUCAGGAGGAACACCCAUGGCGAAGGCAGCAAACUGGGCAUCAUCUGACGCUGAGGCGCGAAAGCGUGGGUAGCAAACAGGAUUAGAUACCCUGGUAGUCCACGCCCUAAACGAUGGAUACUAGGCGUAAGGGGUAUCGACCCCCCUUGUGCCGCAGCUAACGCAUUAAGUAUCCCGCCUGGGGACUACGGCCGCAAGGUUG
rnacentral:rRNA from 1 species